rnacentral:rRNA from 1 species
CCUACGGGCUGCAGCAGUGGGGAAUAUUGGACAAUGGGCGCAAGCCUGAUCCAGCCAUGCCGCGUGAGUGAAGAAGGCCUUCGGGUUGUAAAGUACUUUCAGCGGGGAGGAAGGGAGUAAAGUUAAUACCUUUGCUCAUUGACGUUACCCGCAGAAGAAGCACCGGCUAACUUCGUGCCAGCAGCCGCGGUAAUACGAAGGGUGCAAGCGUUAAUCGGAAUUACUGGGCGUAAAGCGCAUGCAGGCGGCCUGUUAAGUCAGAUGUGAAAGCCCGGGGCUUAACCUCGGAAUUGCAUUUGAAACUGGCAGGCUAGAGUCUUGUAGAGGGGGGUAGAAUUUCAGGUGUAGCGGUGAAAUGCGUAGAGAUCUGGAGGAAUACCGGUGGCGAAGGCGGCCCCCUGGACGAAGACUGACGCUCAGGUGCGAAAGCGUGGGGAGCAAACAGGAUUAGAUACCCUCGUAGUC